rnacentral:rRNA from 1 species
GGGGAAAGUGGGGGACCGCAAGGCCUCACGCGAAUGGAGCGGCCGAUGUCAGAUUAGCUAGUUGGUGGGGUAAAGGCUCACCAAGGCGACGAUCUGUAGCGGGUCUGAGAGGAUGAUCCGCCACACUGGGACUGAGACACGGCCCAGACUCCUACGGGAGGCAGCAGUGGGGAAUUUUGGACAAUGGGCGCAAGCCUGAUCCAGCCAUGCCGCGUGCGGGACGAAGGCCUUCGGGUUGUAAACCGCUUUCAGCUGGAAAGAAAUCGCUGUUUUAAUACGGACAGUGGAUGACGGUACCGGAAGAAGAAGCACCGGCUAACUACGUG